GGUUAUCUUCCACUAUUCGGCUGAAUGAUCAACCCAUACGGUGUGAUGAGUAACAGUGUCAGGGACAGAGGGUGGCGAUAAAUGGCCCAUGGGCCAGCAUCAUGUGAUCGACCCAAUGUCCACCUGCUCUCCUGUUCCGCCCAGCAUCCAGGGAGCCUCAAACACAAAGAUAGGAGAAGCACUCAACGACCUGUACUGGAGGCUUUGCCUGUUGGCAUUGGUAUUGGGAAUCGGGGAAUCAGCACGUGAUGCAUGUUUCCAUCAUGGCUUCUCCAGCUGAGGAAGAAAGCCCUGCUGUUCAACAUAGACGCUGUACUGAUGGUCUUUCGUCGCUUGGCCAAGUCCUUUGAGGUGAUCCUGCUGAACAUAUUUCUCUAUGGAUAUAAUGUUGGCCUGGGGCUGAGUGUGCACCUGGUGUACCUGGGCGAGAGUUCACCUAAGAAGCUGAGAGGAUUCCUGACCCUAACUAGCUCCAUCUUCAAUGGCUUCAGGAAGGCCAUGGUCAGAUUGACAGUACCCUUGUUACUUAACCACCUAACUUGUGUCCUGUGGUCCGUUUACCCUUUCAGUGGUCAGUUGUUCUAGCCUGGUCAAGCAUACUGACCUCGGUGUUGUGCUCACAGUGCAGCGGUCACUCAGUCUGGUUGACUAGGCUACAGUUCAUGUUCAUGACACCUUAAUACAUCCUCAGAACCCACAAUCCCAGCAGAGUUACAUAGAUUGCAUCCAUAGUGUCAAAGAAGGCAACAUACAGGUUAGCUAGAUCACAGUGAGAGUCUCAUUCUGUAAAAAAUGAAGCCAACUCUCUUGCCAUCUAUCUUACUCAGAGAAAGAGGAGAACUUUCAGGGGUCACACCAUUCAGUCAAAUCCCCUUCUGAAUGUUCCAGUUGACCCGCCCUGAGCCUUCUCCACUCCAAAUCGGACCCGCUCAACCUCCAUCAUGUGCCUUGGAUUACCCUGUCCUGGUCCGGCUGGGCUGAAGAACAAGAUUCUGAACAGCUCAUCUGACAAAUUACUAGAAAUGGAAUCACUUUGUAGCAUGAUGUUGUACACAUUUAUGGCAAAGUUCUCCAAAAAAUAUGUGAAAUAAAUUCUAAUAGGAGAAUUUUAGCAAGUUUGGAGGUUGAUGUUCAAGUAUCAAACAGAAUUAAGAUGGAAGGAAGACACACAGUAUGGCUAUAAAUAGUCAUUUGUCAACAAGUCUCUCUCUCUGCAGGAAGCUGAUGGGUACCGAUGACAUGUGGCCCUGGCUCAUGGCCCUUGGUGGCCUCCCUGCCAUCCUCCAGUUUGUGACCUUGCUCUUUUACCCUGAGGCUCCCUACUACCUAUACAUCGACAAGGGAGACACUGAGGGCUGCAAAAAAAGGAGGAUGACCUGUAGAUGGAUGACAUGGGGAAGGAGAGGGCGAGCAUGCAGGGCCAGAAGGUUAAGACCAUGUGGGACGUGCUGACUUCUCGCUGUGCCAGGUGGUAGCUGCUGGCUCUGGUCAUCCCUUGUGCUGGUAUUCAGUUUUGUGGUAAUAACGCAAUUUAUUUCUACACUUUCGACAUCUUUGGUGAAGCUGGAGUAGCAGAGAACAAGAUGCAUUUCCUUUCCAUUGGCAUCGGAACAACAGAUCUCAUCACCAUCACUCUCUGUGACCUGUACUCAUGGUUUCCCUAUGUUAACAUCCCCCUCAUCUUCUUUGUCAUCUGUAUUUAUGGACUAGGACCUUCUCAGCGUUCGUACUCUACUUCAUCCCAGAGACCAAAGGCAAGAGCACGGUGGAGAUCAUGGAGGAGUUUAACAAACUCAACGACAAGAAUGGGGACAAACACCAAAAAAGGCUGACUAUGUUAUGGCAACGACAUUUUAAAGAAAUGUAUUGAGUGGCUUGUACACUCUUAGAAAAAAGGUUUCCAAAUGGGUUCUUCGGCUAUCCCCAUAGGAGCACCCUUUUGGUUCCAGGUAGAACCCUCUCUGGAAAGGUUUCUACAUGGAACCCAAAAUGGUUCUACCUGGAACCAAAAGGGUUCUACCUGGAACCAAAAAGGGUUCUUCCAAGGGUUUUCCUAUGGGGACAGCUGAAGAACCCUUUAACUGUAGGUUGUAGAUAGCACCUUUUCUGUUAGAGUGUAUGAACAGACGUGUUAAGAGAUGUACUCUGUUUAGUUGUUCAUUUGAAUGUGGAUUUACAGCAACUAGUAUGAAUCCAAAACAUGUUGCUAAAUCAGUCAUAGCGCUGUUCCUACAUUCUAGUCUAGGGUCCUAUACAUCUUGAACAGAUUUUUUAAAGCUGUAUCAAUGACUUAUUACUUUGUAAUGAACAUUUUUAAAAAGUAUAUUCAUAUCAAAUCA